CAAACAUAAACGCUGCACCAGGAGAAGCUUCGUUAGUCCUGGUUUCUGUCUUGUGAGGAAACAUGCACAUUCAUCAUGUGUUUUGUUUGGUUUUCUCUCUUUUCAGUCCAGUUUUCUCCGAUGAAGAUUACUACCAUGCCCGAGCAUGUUGUGCAUUCAAGGGGUCUGAAGAUUUGAAAAUAUAGAGUAUACAAUUAUAGAGCGCUUCAAUAACACAUUACGAUGGAGUACAACAGCACAAGAGGCAACUGGACUGGAUUCUCGCUUAUUCACUAAUGUUAUCAAAAACUUUGGAACAGUGAUCCAUAUGAAGAACUUGAAAGAAUAGUUGAAAUAAAAUUGUUAUGUGAAGACAAUAUACAGUAUAUCCAAAGCCUUGGAAAUCUCUACAACAACCCCCACUGUCAACAUUAAGUUAGGGGCGAAGCAGCCCAGCGGUGGACACCCAGCCAUGCUUGUAUGCAGCGCCUAUAACUUCUACCCAAAGCAAAUCAGAUGACGUGGUUGCGAAAUAAACAAGAAGUGACAACAGACUCACUUACUCUAAUGUGAUGGAUGAUGGCGAUCUUUAUUACCAGAAGCAUUUAUUUCUGCAGUACACUCCGACCUUCAGGAGAAAACAUCACCUGCAUGGUUGACACACGUCAGUCUUUCUGAACCAACAUUGUGGUCUGGGAUAACUCCCUCCCUGCUGAAGCACAAAUUCAAAUUACUGUUGGACUGUGUGGACUCAUCUUUGGUUUAAUUAUUCUGAGCUCUGGAUUGAUUUACUAUAAGAAAGAAUCUGUUGCAUACAUUACAUUCUGCCGAG